rnacentral:rRNA from 1 species
UGGGGGAUAUUGCACAAUGGGCGAAAGCCUGAUGCAGCGACGCCGCGUGGGGGAUGAAGGCUUUCGGGUUGUAAACCUCUUUCGCUAUCGAACAAGGCCCGCUUAGGGUGGGUUGAGGGUAGGUGGAGAAGAAGCGCCGGCUAACUACGUGCCAGCAGCCGCGGUAAUACGUAGGGCGCGAGCGUUGUCCGGAAUUAUUGGGCGUAAAGGGCUUGUAGGCGGCUUGUUGCGCCUGCUGUGAAAACGCGGGGCUUAACUUCGCGCGUGCAGUGGGUACGGGGUGGCUUGAGUGUGGUAGGGGUGACUGGAAUUCCAGGUGUAGCGGUGGAAUGCGCAGAUAUCUGGAGGAACACCGAUGGCGAAGGCAGGUCACUGGGCCAUUACUGACGCUGAGGAGCGAAAGCAUGGGUAGCGAACAGG